UGAGGAAUAUUGGUCAAUGGGCGGGAGCCUGAACCAGCCAAGUCGCGUGAGGGAAGACGGUCCUAAGGAUUGUAAACCUCUUUUGUCGGGGAGCAAAGGGCGCCACGAGAUGGUGUGAUGAGAGUACCCGAAGAAAAAGCAUCGGCUAACUCCGUGCCAGCAGCCGCGGUAAUACGGAGGAUGCGAGCGUUAUCCGGAUUUAUUGGGUUUAAAGGGUGCGUAGGCCGGGGUUCAAGUCAGCGGUAAAAUUGAGAGGCUCAACCUCUUCGAGCCGUUGAAACUGAAUCUCUUGAGUGGGCGAGAAGUAUGCGGAAUGCGAGGUGUAGCGGUGAAAUGCAUAGAUAUCACGCAGAACUCCGAUUGCGAAGGCAGCAUACCGGCGCCCGACUGACGCUGAAGCACGAAAGCGUGGGGAUCAAACAGG
rnacentral:rRNA from 1 species